UACGUAGGGUGCAAGCGUUUGUCCGGAAUUAUUGGGCGUAAAGAGCUCGUAGGCGGUUUGUCGCGUCUGCUGUGAAAACUCGGGGCUUAACUCCGGGCCUGCAGUGGGUACGGGCAGACUUGAGUACUGCAGGGGAGACUGGAAUUCCUGGUGUAGCGGUGAAUGCGCAGAUAUCAGGAGGAACACCGGUGGCGAAGGCGGGUCUCUGGGCCGAUACUGACGCUGAGGAGCGAAAGCGUGGGGAGCGAACAGGAUUAGAACUACCGAGUCAG
rnacentral:rRNA from 1 species